AUACUUACCUGGCAAGGAGACACCCUGAUCACCAAGGCGGUUCACCCGGGCGGCUCGCCAUUGCACUCCGGCUGUGCGACCCCUGCGAAUUUCCCAAAUGUGGAAAUCUCGAUUGCAAAUUUCUGGUAGUGGGGACUGCGUUCGCCUCUCACCU
rnacentral:snRNA from 1 species